UUAUUUUAUAUAAUCUUUGUGUCAUUUUUAACUGAGGUAGAGCAUAGCAGGAACUAUCCUGCUCAAAGUCGGGAGCAGCCCUACUGGGGAAGUACGUCGACCUUAAAGAAGAUCACAGCUAAAUAACACUGCUCUCAAACAGUGUUGUGUUCCUGUGGUAAGUAAGGUGA